rnacentral:rRNA from 1 species
UACGUAGGGGGCAAGCGUUGUCCGGAUUUAUUGGGCGUAAAGAGCGUGUAGGCGGCUAGGUAGGUCCGUUGUGAAAACUCGAGGCUCAACCUCGAGACGCCGGUGGAAACCAUCUAGCUAGAGUCCGGAAGAGGAGAGUGGAAUUCCUGGUGUAGCGGUGAAAUGCGCAGAUAUCAGGAAGAACACCCGUGGCGAAGGCGGCUCUCUGGCUCGACCCUGACGCUGAGAGGCGAAAGCGUGGGGAGCGAACGGG